GGCACUAUGGCGGAGUGGUUAUCGCGCUGGCCUGCUAGAUUUCUUCGAGAUUUAACAGUUAAGCCAGUUCCUUCGGGAGCCAGAGUUCGAAUCUCUGUGGUGUCG